AGAUUGAACGCUGGCGGCAUGCCUUACACAUGCAAGUCGAACGGCAGCACGGGAGCAAUCCUGGUGGCGAGUGGCGAACGGGUGAGUAAUACAUCGGAACGUGCCCAAUCGUGGGGGAUAACGCAGCGAAAGCUGUGCUAAUACCGCAUAAGAUCUACGGAUGAAAGCAGGGGAUCGCAAGACCUUGCGCGAAUGGAGCGGCCGAUGGCAGAUUAGGUAGUUGGUAGAGGUAAAGGCUCACCAAGCCUUCGAUCUGUAGCUGGUCUGAGAGGACGACCAGCCACACGUGGGACUGACGACGACGGCCCAGACUCCGUACGGGAGCAGCAGUGAGGUAAUUUGGACAAGUGGGACGAA
rnacentral:rRNA from 1 species